ACUAGGGAUCGGGCGAUGUUAUCUUUUUGACUCGCUCGGCACCUUACGAGAAAUCAAAGUCUUUGGGUUCUGGNGGGAGUAUGGUCGCAAGGCUGAAACUUAAAGAAAUUGACGGAAGGGCACCACCAGGAGUGGAGCCUNCGGCUUAAUUUGACUCNACACGGGGAAACUCACCAGGUCCAGACACAAUAAGGAUUGACAGAUUGAGAGCUCUUUCUGAUUUUGUGG
rnacentral:rRNA from 1 species